rnacentral:rRNA from 1 species
AGAGUUUGAUCAUGGCUCAGAACGAACGCUGGCGGCAGGCCUAAUACAUGCAAGUUGAACGCACCUUCGGGUGAGUGGCAGACGGGUGAGUAACGCGUGGGAACCUUCCCAAUAGUACGGAAUAACUCCGGGAAACCGGCGCUAAUACCGUAUACGCCCUUCGGGGGAAAGAUUUAUCGCUAUUGGAUGGGCCCGCGUAGGAUUAGCUUGUUGGUGAGGUAAAAGCUCACCAAGGCGACGAUCCUUAGCUGGUCUGAGAGGAUGAUCAGCCACACUGGGACUGAGACACGGCCCAGACUCCUACGGGAGGCAGCAGUAGGGAAUCUUGGACAAUGGGCGAAAGCCUGAUCCAGCCAUGCCGCGUGAGUGAAGAAGGCCUUAGGGUUGUAAAACUCUUUUAGCGGGGAAGAUAAUGACGGUACCCGCAGAAUAAGCCCCGGCUAACUUCGUGCCAGCAGCCGCGGUAAUACGAAGGGGGCUAGCGUUGUUCGGAAUUACUGGGCGUAAAGCGCACGCAGGCGGACUGAUCAGUCAGGGGUGAAAUCCCGAGGCUCAACCUCGGAACUGCCUUUGAUACUGUCAGUCUUGAGUCCGGGAGAGGUGAGUGGAAUUCCUAGUGUAGAGGUGAAAUUCGUAGAUAUUAGGAAGAACACCAGUGGCGAAGGCGGCUCACUGGCCCGGUACUGACGCUCAGGUGCGAAAGCGUGGGGAGCAAACAGGAUUAGAUACCCUAGUAGUCC